CCUUGAGCUCACGGUAAUCCUCCUGCCUUCCCAAGAGCUGGGAACCUGUUUUAAUUUCAAAACAGCUAAGUUGCUACAUUUUCUGGGCUGGGUUUGAACUUACAUCAUCUCACAGAGGGCAAAGAUUACAGGUGUGUACUUCCACCCCUAGCUGUCCUUCCCUAAUUCUUAAAGAGUGCAAUGUCGUAUUUCAUUGUCACAGGUGUGUCAGAUGUGUAUUAUUUUCUCAAAAUUUGCUAAAAGUCACUCGAAAAGUACUUUGUUCCUUUGCAAACUGGCUUCCUUUGUGGGGAAAGUCAAUCAGUGAGGGAUGGGCACAGGUGUGCUGGGCUGUACUCCUUGUCGCUAGCCCCCCAUCCUAAGGCGCUUGGCCUGCUCUGCUGCUCUGUUGAUGAGGGAAGUUAGAACUCAUAGCCUCCUGCUCCCUGUGGGAUGAAUGCUUAAUACUGCCCUGAACAUUGUGAAUUAUAGUCACUUCUGGGGUUUCAAAAGGCUGUAAGGUUUAAGUUGGACUGCCCUCUUGAGGUUUACCAGCCUUAAGAGUGUAGUAGCUAGAUGAAAAUUACUCCCAAGAAUAUAAACAUGUAGUACUGGUUGAGAGCAAAGUCAAUCUGGUUUUAGGACAUAAGAUCCUUUGGGGAGAAUGAAAUCAUACAAAGUUACUGUGACACUUCUUUAUCUCUGUGCCACAGAGCUACAGGCUGAGUUCUAAGUGGCACCUACUUUUUGUUUGUAGUCCUCUUUUGAUGUGCUGAGCAUUUACUGCAUACAGAAUGCCACUGUAGGUUUUCAUCAGAGGUGGUGCCCAGGAUCACACCCAGGGCUUUGUGCGUGCAAGGCCAGAGUUCUACCACUGAGCCACAUCCCUAGCCCCUUCAGAUUUUUAAAAAUAGGAAAAAUGAAGUUGAAGCUAUUUAAGUAGUGUGAUGUUUUAAGUUCUUUUAAGUCAUUUUCUUAAGCAUUUCUGGUCAUAGGAUUACACUAUCGUCAUAAAACAUGUUAACUGACCUUAUGUGGCUUAAUAGUCUGAUAUAUAGUUGAAACCUAUCCGUUCAUUUCUCUGGUUUGGAAUCCACAGAUGAGGCUUGGCCAUGUCUAGCUGUAAUGGACAGUACAAGGCUAACACUCUUCGUUCUUCAAGACCUUAAGCCUAGAUACUUCUCUAGUCACACACAUAAAUACAGAACACAGACUGAGGAGAAAUUGAAUGUAGAGCCAGGAGGAAGUUGCUGGAUUUGGGUGAAGGGAAACGAAGCAAAACCAUCUGGCUUCCAUUGUAGGCUGGGUGGGUAUUUGAAAGGGAAAGCUUGCUGGGAAGUAAAGGUUUAAAAUCAACUGGUAAACGAGAGUGAGGUUAGUGUCACACCCAAGAAGAGCAAAAGUACCAUUGGACAAGUGGCUUGAGAAAGAGUAGUUUGGGCAAUUUGUAGACAAAGCAUGAGACCUGAAGUAGACCCAGAGACCAGUGUCUUGAUCCAAGUAUCACAUGAAAUUAGGAGCAGAAAGCUGGAAGUCUGUAUGAGGACAGAGAAGGAAUGUUUUGUUUGUGUUUGGGUAUAUGGAAAAAUUAAAGCAAGCUUCUUCAAAAAGGAAAUUAAACUCUGAAGUGCUAUCUGCCAAUUUCCUCAUCUCUAGAGAAAUACCCAGGGGUCAUUUAGCCUUAUGGAUCAGUAAGUUCGCAGGGACUUUUGGGGAGGUUGGGGGCUCCAGUUCUGCAAAGCAGAUGUGUAGUCUUAGGUCCACAUCAGCCUAGAGUGUGACAUUCCGCCUCUCCAACUUUGGUUUCUUUACCUGCAAUAUAGGGUAGUCGUCACCCUGUGGCCUGCGUUCCGCAGUGGCCUGUUGCAUUGAAAGCUCUGAAAGGUUUGCCAUCACGGAUACAGGGACUAGAACACUUAACUGGUCUAUUGAGAGGAGUAACCCACAAAACCACCAAUGCUUGGCUCUAUGUAAUAAGCAUUCCACAAACACUAGCUAGUAAAAGACACCCAAGAAUGUUUCUGAGAUACAAACUACGACAACACAAAGGCACCCAAGUUACAUGAAGAAAACCUUGUCCAUAUGAGUGUGAGAGCUUCAGAGGAAUGGGAAAGAAGACACACUCUGAAGGCCAAACAGAAACUGUUUAAGAUGCCUCAAAUAUGCCUGAUUAGUGACCGAUCACCAAGAUUGCUGCGGUCCCAUCUGAUCAGCAUGACAGCAUCAGUAGCUUGUACAGGCUUGGCAUUUGGCUGUGUUGCAGAUACCUGAAUUUCAACUACAGCCAUCCAAUUAGCACAGUAGCAAAUCCUGUGUAUCCCAGCGAGGACCAGCCCACUCACCAGUUGUUCAGGGCUGGUGAACAAGGGAACAGUAAACCAGUCAUUAUGUUCUUGGACAGACUGGCCGCUUGACCUUUCCAGCGAAGUCCUGACAAGUUAGCAGGGACAGCAGCGUUUCCAUUGCCAGUUGCCAUCGAAUGGAGUGAGUGGAGACAUGGAGAGAACUGAGAUGCCAACAGUGACAGCUGUGCACACCUGUAAUCCCAGCACUCGGGAGGCUGAGGCAGGAGGAUCGUUGCAAGCUUGAGGCCAGCCUGAACUGCAAAGCGAGAUCCUGUCUCAAAAAAGACCAAAAAAGAAGAAAUGAAAAGAAAUUCUGUUCUACAGAAAUCCACAAGCCUUCCACAAAUAACAGCCAACCAGGAAAGCAACUGCACAUACAGGGUGCAGUCAUUUACAAAGUAAUUGAUUUCUCAGCACUUUUUUUUUUUUUUUGGUUCCAGGAAUCGAACUCAAGACCUUACACUUGCCAGGCAAAUGCUUGUGCCACUUAGCUAUAUCCCUGGCCCCUUUUCAGCGUUUUUUAACCUUUUAGUUUUUGGGUAGGUGGAAUAGUGUAAACAGUUCUAUGCAUGUGUGUCUUUUCAGUUUUAUGGUGAAUCUAAAACUACUCUUAAAAAAAAAAUUCCAGCACUCUGAAAUGCUGACCUCUGGACCACUGCCCAGGUGAAAUUGUCCCGGUUCCUCCUGGUUUUCCUCCCCAUUUAGGAAUGUGCAUCUUCUUUCAUCUUUACUUUUCUUUCAACCAAAUGAUAUUGAAACAUUGCAUUCAUUACUUGGUCUUAUAAACUUCCUAUGCUAAUACAUUAGAGCAGUCCACUCAUUCCUCCUGUCUCAGCCCCAAUUCUCAUCUUUCAUCCAGCUUAUUGAAAAAACAUUGUAUUCCCCUUAGUUGAAAAUACAGAAGUGUGAAGCCAGGAACACAGGAAAAAAGCGCGUGGGAAAUCCCUGCUGUGAUGGGCACGGGGCUGUGGGAGCCGGCACACUGGGCUAUCGGCCUGGAACACUUUCCAGUGAGCCACGUGCCGGCCCUGCCUCCCGCAGGGAGGUGUUCUUCACAGGACACAGAGGGGAGCAGUGCGGCCUCAUUGUGCCAAAGGAGCAGCAGGGGGCACGUCCCCGAAACCUGGUGCCAGUUCCUUAGCUGCUACCCCAUGGCCACGCACCUGGGGAGGCCUGUCCUGGUUUGAAAUUGUUUCUCUACAGUAGCUAAUGUUCGUACAUCUGGUUAAAUUUUUCCUUUUUCUGAAGAUAAAAGUGGAUAUACAGUGAAAGAUGCCUAAUUCCCAGUCUCCUCCCCAGAGACAACUGAUCGGUCUGUGUCCUUACUAGGAUAAAUGUUGAUCCUACUUUCCUCAGACACUAAUUACUGCAUAGACCGCAACAUCUUGAUUUAGGUAAGUAUAUUAACCUAUCCUGAAUAAUAAAUCUUGAGGAUCAGCCUGUAUUUCAUGUACAUAUUGCUGCCUUACUCUUUUUAAGGAAAGUGCAGUAUUUUGUAUGAUUUUGUUGUGGGACACAAGGCCGGCUGCUUGCUGCACAAUAGGUCACUUGCGCCAAGAGUCAAGGCGUUGAGGCAAGGAAGGCAACUAUAGAAAAGGCAGCAAGACAAGCUGGAGGGGCUGGGGAUUUAGCUCAGUGGCAAAAGCGCCUGCCUGGCAAGUGCAAGGUCGUGAGUUUGGUUCCCGGUACCGGAGAAAAACCAAAAAAAAAGAAAAAAAAGAAGCUGGAAGACUCUUACCCGAAGUCCUUCUUGCCAGGAAGCAAGGCAGUGGGGGUUCCCAGACCGUGGGUGCCUCACCCAGCACAUGGGCCAGCGGAGCAAUCUGACAUACGUUGCCUAGUCAUGAGGUGCUUUUCAGUUCUCUCCACAUACAGUUCAAGGCCAGCCUGGGUUAUAUAGUAGUGAGUUCAAGGCCAGACUGAACUACAU